UACGUAGGGUGCGAGCGUUGUCCGGAAUUAUUGGGCGUAAAGGGCUCGUAGGCGGUUUGUCGCGUCGGGAGUGAAAUCCACUGGCUUAACUGGUGGCUUGCUUUCGAUACGGGCAGACUGGAGGUAUGCAGGGGGAGAACGGAAUUCCUGGUGUAGCGGUGAAAUGCGCAGAUAUCAGGAGGAACACCGGUGGCGAAGGCGGGUCUCUGGGCCGAUACUGACGCUGAGGAGCGAAAGCGUGGGGAGCGAACAGG
rnacentral:rRNA from 1 species